rnacentral:rRNA from 1 species
GAUGAACGCUGGCGGCGUGCCUAAUACAUGCAAGUCGAGCGAACAGACGCGGCGCUUGCUCCUCUGACGUUAGCGGCGGACGGGUGAGUAACACGUGGAUAACCUACUUAUAAGACUGGGAUAACUUCGGGAAUCCGGCGCUAAUACCGGAUAAUAUAUUGCACCGCAUGGUUCAAUAGUGAAAGUCGGUUUUGCUGUCUCUUAUAGAUGGAUCCGCGCCGCAUUAGCUAGUUGGUAAGGUAACGGCUUACCAAGGCAACGAUGCGUAAGCGAGCUGAGAGGGGGAUCGGCCACACUGGAGCGGAGACACGGUCCAGGCUCCUACGGGAGGCAGCAGUAGGGAAUCGGCCGCAAUGGUCGAAAGCCUGACGGAGCAACGCCGCGUGAGUGAUGAAGGUCUUCGGAUCGUAAAACUCUGUUAUUAGGGAAGAACAAAUGUGUAAGUAACUAAGCACGUCUUGACGGUACCUAAUCAGAAAGCCACGGCUAACUACGUG